rnacentral:rRNA from 1 species
CAGUCGCCGCGGUAAUACGUAGGUGGCAAGCGUUGUCCGGAAUUAUUGGGCGUAAAGCGCGCGCAGGCGGAUCAGUUAGUCUGUCUUAAAAGUUCGGGGCUUAACCCCGUGAUGGGAUGGAAACUGCUGAUCUAGAGUAUCGGAGAGGAAAGUGGAAUUCCUUGUGUAGCGGUGAAAUGCGUAGAUAUUAGGAAGAACACCAGUGGCGAAGGCGACUUUCUGGACGAAAACUGACGCUGAGGCGCGAAAGCCAGGGGAGCGAACGGGAUUAGAUACCCGCGUAGUCCCUGUCUCUUAUACA